rnacentral:rRNA from 1 species
UACGGAGGGUGCGAGCGUUGUCCGGAUUUAUUGGGUCUAAAGGGUGCGUAGGCGGCCCGAUAAGUCAGCGGUGAAAGACCCCGGCUCAACCGGGGGGUUGCCGUUGAUACUGUCGGGCUUGGGUACGGUCUGGGUACAUGGAAUUGGUGGUGUAGCGGUGAAAUGCAUAGAUACCAUCAGGAACACCGAUAGCGUAGGCAUUGUACUGGGCCGUUACCGACGCUGAUGCACGAAAGCGCGGGUAG